UGUUUCUAUGGGGACGCUGUUGUCAUGACGACAGCCACGCACACGCUCACUUCGCUAUGUUGUUUUUUUUUGGGGGGGAGUUCUUUAAGCGAACAGUUUAAACACUACACUUUUUCUACCUCCUUUUGAAAGGACACCGCAAAUAGGUUAGGGUCAUGUCUAACAGAAAAGCUUCCGCAGAGUCAGAAAUGACGGCCGCUGGCAGUGCGAGGAAAUUCCGAAUGAAACCAGCCACGUUACCCCUGACUAGUGCCGCGGAGCUUCCAGAGAACACCAAUUGCCUGGCGUGUUCCGAUGACGGCACAUUCCUCACCCUGGGUCACUCCGGAGGCUUCUCCGUGUGGUCUGUGGGUACUCUGAGAUGUGAGGCCGAGUGGUCUCAGGACAAACUGGAGAUUACUUCCAUUCUCAUGACCCCCACCGGUGAAACUGCCUAUUUGCUGGGCACCAUUGACGAUAUGGGUGUUGCUAGAGUCUUUGUGUAUAACUUAGAAGGCAUUUAUCCUUUCAGUGUUAUUAACAUGCUGGAUGACAUUAACAAGAGGAGCGUUUGCAUUUACCUUGAACUAUCUAAAGGUGGUGAACACGGAGCUAUAAUAAUGAGGUGCAAUAGUGAAAUUUGGCUUGAAAUCUAUUACUUUCCUAUACAGGACUGGCUGAGAGAGUUGAAGGAUCCCAAAAUUUCUGCAAAUAUGAAAUGGUCUCCUGCUGUUCGUGUGAAUAGAGUUAAUCCAUCAACGGCAAUCACCACAGAACCCCCCACCAUUUUGUCUCACUUCUUAGUUUUGGACGAAACAACCGAGCCACCAAGACGUUGCACUCCACACUUUCUUCUGUGCUGUGGCCGCUCUGAUGGAAAGAAUAAAGUAAAGCCCGGAUCCCCGCUUGCCCUCUGUUUUUGGUGGAACGGAAGUUACAAUCUUCUCUACCUGCUGCUGUCCAAAACACCAAAGGCCAAACAAGAUCCAGAACCGCCACCGUUGGUGCUGUGGCCCAACGCUGCUGAAAUUGUCUGCUCCACAGUCAGUAUGUGCACUCGUUUCAUUGCGCUGGGCCUGAGCAACGAUCUGCUGUGUGUUUGGGACAGGCUGUCUGGCUCUCCGUUGUCAAUCUCUGGAGUAGCAACAGACAGUUCCUUCCUCAGGCUGCACUUUGUGGAUUACUGGGCUGCGUGCACCGAUGAUACUCAGAUUUUAAUCGCAGGUGAAAUACACCUCGUGACGCUGUGUGAGAGCGGCGCUAUUCACGUCGUAAGCACGGGCCGGGGAACAGCAACCAGCACUUCUCAGCUCUCACCAAGGCCAAAAGACAGUGGUGACCUCCCGACUGUUGCUGAAUCAGUACCAUUCCUGCAGGGCUUGUCACUGGUGGUGCAUCGAAAUGGGAAAAUGUUUCUACAAGAUGUCGUCAACAGAGCCACGGAGUGCGUCUUGAGUUUGCCCGCUCAUUAUUUGCUGACCACCCCCUGCAAUCCCAUUUAUGCUCUGAAUGUCAAGCACCGCAUUCUCUUCAUACGAGCUGACCAGGAGCCCACUCCCGGCACUUCUUCCUUGGACGAUCCGGGUCAGAGUCGACUUCUCAUAAUGCGUUUUGACGAGCAUGACGCCAUUAAGCCAUAUGUUGUUUUAAAUCCCGAGUCUCCAUGGCAACAAAAACCAAGCUUAGUUACUGGAGAGGAAGCCUGCAACCUGUAUCUCCAGCAACGGGGUCUGUCAAUGGACGAAAGGCACAAGCUAUAACGCAGACUUGGAAACGACUGCGUUGUGCCACUACCAUGUAAAGCCGUCAAAGACAGCAAAAUAUUUUGAUUUUACUCAGAGGACUGUCACGGGGAGUGCAGAAACCGAUCCCACCUGUCGACGGGCAGGAGGGGGUGUACACCUUGAACUGCUUGCCAGCCAAUCGCAGGGCACAUGGAGACAAACAGCCAUACUCACAAUCACACCUAGGGGGAAUUUAGAGUGUCCAAUUAAUAUUGCAUGGAAGGAAACCGGAGUGCCCGGGGAAAACCCACGCAGGCACGGGGAGAACAUGAAAACUUCACACAGGUGGGGCCGGGAUCGAACCCGGGUCCUCAGAACUGUGAGGCCAACACUUUACUUUUGGUGGCGUGCUGAACAACUGGUUAGUAAAGCUGUCUCACAGUUAUUAGAACACGGGUUCAUAUCCAGCUUCGCCUGUUUAGAAUUUGCAUGUUCUCCCUGUGUGUGUUUUCUACUGGUACUAUGGUUUUCUCCUAUAUUCCAAAAACAUACAUGGUUGGUUGAUUUGAAGAUUCUAAAUUGUCCAUAGCUAUCAAUGGGAGUGUGAAUGGGUGUUUGUCUACAUGUGGCCUCCGAUUGGCUGGCUAGCUUGUUUUUUUUUCACUUCAUUUCAUAUGCGGUAUAUCGGAAGCUCACCCGUAAUACAAAUUUCAGCUCAAAGCAAAUAAUGAUAAUAAUAAUGACAAUGAUAACAAAUAAAAAAGGGCCUGAUCUGUCAUUGAGAGGGUAAUGAAAAGUGAACAGGUUGAAAAGAUUUUUCUGUCACCUAUGGCAACACUGUGGUGGUUGUGCUGGUCAUUUCCGGUAAAAAUUUCAUCCUUUUAUGUCUGUUAAAUUAAACAGAUGAGUCAAACCCUUCUUUUUGGGUUGCAGUUUUGAUUACUAAUUACUAUUAACCUCAACUUUAAAUAAAAAAAAUCUUUCUACAAGUGAAAGUUGGUAUAAUUGACCCCUCCGUGGAUAUUGCGCAAUCCGCAUCACUGACCAAUCAGAGGCCAGAGAUCUGCAUAAACCAAAGCCCGUUUUUGCUCCCGCCAUUUUCUCAGACAACAUUGCAUGGUCCAGUAUAGGGUUAGUUAGCUUUUUAUCGCGUAUUUGGGUUAUUUAACAAAAAAUAUGGUUAAGAGGUGUAGUCACGGUCUUUGUAAUAGUGACGACAGGUAUCCUGAAAGGCUAGUUGGUGGAGUUCGAUUCGUACCCUUUCCAAAACCGAAGACCCAGUACGAAAAAUGCCUUCGAUGGAUCAAACUUUGUGGAAGACCGCAUCAUCAACUAAAUCCAUCUAAUAUCAACCGGAACACAUAUGUUUGCACGAAAGUAAGCCCUAUAUUUGAUUUUCAAUACAUGUCUCAUAUAAAUGAAUUAGCAGUUCUUCGGUUGCAUAACAUAGCUACGUGUGAAUGAUUGACACACUUGAUCUGUGUUGAGCGAUAUUUAGCAAUGAUCGGACUGCACAAACGUAUUGAUUUCUUGCUGGCUCGCGGCCAGAAGCUUAACCAGACUGUGUUUGCAUGAAGAUAUGCCCUAAAUUUUAUAUUUAUUCCACGUCUCGUAUAAAUGAAUGAGACGUUCUCCGCUAGCAUAACAUUGCUACGUGUGAAUGAUUGAAUGAAAUCAGAAGCAUGGCGUCUCUCUCAGUUAAGAAUGUAUUGUAUUUAGAAUCUAUAAUAUAUCGUUGAUUUGAAUGAAAUGAGAAGCAUGGAGUCUGUCUCAGUUCAGAAUGUAUUGUAUUGUAUUUGCCAUUUUUACUGUUUGUCUUACGUCAGCGCACGUAGCGUGACGUCACUUCAGGAGGCAUGGUUAAGUGCCCUGUACGGAGGGGUCAAUUGUGUGUACAUCAUGAUAACCUAUGGAUUUCCCUUGCAAAAAAACCCCAACAUUUUCCCAUAUAGGAAUAUUUCGUAAAAGCUCCCUGAAUUUGACUACCUCCUCAUAAUUUGUGCAAUAAAUGAACUCACCUUUAUAUGUAUGAUGUGUAAUAUCUUCUGCGAUCUAUGGUUAUUGGGAUAUCAUUUUAUUUUCUGCAAAUGUGAUCAUCCUCCACUUCUAAUUUGGGAUUCGGCCCGUCUCUGUGCAUUUUAAUGAGGGGAAAACAUGGCAUUUGUCAUUUGGCCUUUGACUCGGCACUGAUAAAAAGCAGCAAUCCCCUUUAGGGGCCAUUCGAGCUGGGUCUCUGAGUCAGCCCAUCAUGGAGAGGAUCCGUUUGUGUAUACUAAGUACUGCAGAGCUCUUGCUCAGAAGUUUGCAAUGUCUUUGAACCCGAAAGGGACACCUGAGUCACAAUGAACACUUUUAAUGAACAAUACCACAACAUACACUUUGCCAGGCAAACAAGAUCCUUUUUAACUAGCUCAUGACAGAAAUGUGGUCAACUAUUCAUUUCUAUGAUGUCCUUUGUAGCGCGCUCAGUGAAUAAUUGAACAUUCAAAACACAGUGCAUGACAUUUAUUGUAAAGUAUCAAACCUUUUUUCCCCCUCGUUUAGAGUUUUAAAAAGCCCACACACCUCUUUUCAAAGGAGACCAAACUAAUUCAUUUCAAAACUUUCACUAUUGUUGUUGUGACCAACAUAACCAAUAUUUUAGCGAGGGAAAGUAAAAAGAAACAACUGAGAUAAUGUGGUUGCCUCUUAUAACGUGGUUGUGUUCAGAAUUGACCAAUCAAAAUCAAACUCAUGUUGAAUAGGACUCGGGAAACACUUGCCAUCACUUCAAGUGCCUUUGAUUCAUCCCGAAUAAAGUUAGCUUUUCUAGUAGGCUUUCCCUGUCAUUUUUGUAGUCACAUCCGAUAACACAACCCUUGGUGUGCAAAGCACUUCCACUCUUUGAUUGAUGGUCUCAGUUAGGAGAAGAGUAAAACCUUUAAGGAUUUAAAUAUGCGAGUUAAUACAGUGGCAGUCAUUAUCAAGUGGAGAAAAUAUGAACCAAUUGUCAGAUUACCAAGAACUGGGCAUCCCUCCAAAAUAUAUCUACCAUCUUCUUCAUAUGUCUGGGCUGUGGCUUAUCUUACAAAGAGGGGAAAAAACUCACUUCUCCUAAACGCAUGCGUGAAAAUGUAUUAAGGACCAAUGAAACCAGGGUGUAAUGUUUUAGCCAUCAUUCCAACAGGUAUGUUUUGCGCAAGCACAUUACUCCUCAUCACUGAAAAAAUCCACUACACUGCAUCAUUACUGUAAAGCAUGGUGGUGGCAGCACCAGGCUAUGGGGCUGUUUUUCUUCUCCUGCAACUCUGCUCUUAAACAAGGGAAGGAGAACUAUGAAUGCUUCCAAAUAGGAGUCAGUUUUGGCACAAAACCUGAUGUAUCAAAAAAAAAUGGCAUGAUUGAGGGACGCUUUAUAUACAGAAACAAUGCAAAUGUAUUGGCACUGCUGAAAAUGGCAUUUUUGUCUAUUAGUCAAGAACGUAGUUCACCUCAAAGGUGUUUGAUGGGCUUCUUCCACAUUGAACUUAACCAAUUAAGCAAUUAUAGACUUCUAUUUGUGUUGUACAAUUGUUUGCACAUCGUACAUCGAUGUGGACCUCUGUGCGGAAGCAUUAGUCCUAUGACCCAAUUAUGCCAUUUGUAUUCUCCUC